rnacentral:rRNA from 1 species
ACAGCAGUAGCCGCGGUAAUACGUAGGUCCCGAGCGUUGUCCGGAUUUAUUGGGCGUAAAGCGAGCGCAGGCGGUUAGAUAAGUCCGAAGUUAAAGGCUGUGGCUUAACCAUAGUACGCUUUGGAAACUGUUUAACUUGAGUACAAGAGGGGAGAGUGGAAUUCCAUGUGUAGCGGUGAAAUGCGUAGAUAUAUGGAGGAACACCGGUGGCGAAAGCGGCUCUCUGGCUUGUAACUGACGCUGAGGCUCGAAAGCGUGGGGAGCAAACAGGAUUAGAUACCCGAGUAGUCCCUGUCUCUUAUACA